rnacentral:rRNA from 1 species
CCGCCGGCGACCGGCGCACGGGUGAGUAACACGUAUGCAACCUGGCCGUGACAGAUGGAUAACCGGGAGAAAUCCCGCCUAAUACAACAUAAUGCCGGGAGGGGACAUCCCCUGCCGGCCAAAGGGGCGACCCCGGUCACGGAUGGGCAUGCGGCGCAUUAGGUAGUUGGUGGGGCAACGACCCACCAAGCCGACGAUGCGUAGGGGUUCUGAGAGGAAGGUCCCCCACAUUGGAACUGAGACACGGUCCAAACUCCUACGGAAGGCAGCAG